UUGAACGCUGGCGGCAUGCUUUACACAUGCAAGUCGAACGGUAACAGGCCUUCGGGUGCUGACGAGUGGCGAACGGGUGAGUAAUGCAUCGGAACGUACCCAGAGGUGGGGGAUAACGCAGCGAAAGCUGUGCUAAUACCGCAUGUGAUCUGAGGAUGAAAGCGGGGGACCGAGCAGCAAUGUUUGGCCUCGCGCCUUUGGAGCGGCCGAUGUCGGAUUAGCUAGUUGGUGGGGUAAAGGCCUACCAAGGCGGCGAUCCGUAGCUGGUCUGAGAGGACGACCAGCCACACUGGGACUGAGACACGGCCCAGACUCCUACGGGAGGCAGCAGUGGGGAAUUUUGGACAAUGGGCGCAAGCCUGAUCCAGCAAUGCCGCGUGCGGGAAGAAGGCCUUCGGGUUGUAAACCGCUUUUGGCAGGAACGAAACGGUGUCCGCUAAUACCGGGCGCUAAUGACGGUACCUGCAGAAUAAGCACCGGCUAACUACGUG
rnacentral:rRNA from 1 species